rnacentral:lncRNA from 1 species
GACGGGACAACGACCAGGGACAGCGAGCAGACCAUGGAGAGGCAGCUGAGUCCUUAGUUUGAGGAAGACAGGAUAACAGCCUGUUCCCGCUGCUAGAGGCCAGUGAGAUGGAGAGGCUUGCAGAGGUCACUGAUCAAUGGAUCACAGACUCUCAAGCUCAGCAGUGGUGGCCCAGGACUUUAAUUCUAGGACUCAGAAGGCAGAGGCGGGCAGAGUUCGAGGCCAACCUGGUGGUCUACAGAGCAACGGGACAGCUGGGAGUAUGCAGUGAAACCCUACCUCGAAAAGACAAACAAACAAACGAAAUAUCAUAGAUUCUCCAUCUAUGACACCGCUUGACACCAUCGGGCGGAACGCACAACAGUAAACGCCCCCGCCGCGACCAAUCAGCGAUUGCCGCACACCUCUGCCUUGGCCAAUCCACAGCGAUUUUGCAGUUCCACCCCUUACCUAGGGUGUGCGGAAGCUGGGGCGCCCCGUGCCCAACCUGGGGAGUGUCCAGAGCCUGUUCCUCCCCCAGCACACCCCCGCGGUGUCCUUCAGCUCCAAACUA